UUAACUCAUAUUUGUAUGGAAUGGGAUCGUUUGCGUACGUUUGCCGCUAGGGGCGCUGUUCCAACUGCAUACAAAAUUGGUUA
rnacentral:pre_miRNA from 1 species